rnacentral:rRNA from 1 species
UACGUAGGUGGCAAGCGUUGUCCGGAUUUACUGGGCGUAAAGAGCGCGCAGGCGGUCGAUCAAGUCGCGUGUGAAAGCCCCCGGCUCAACUGGGGAGGGUCACGCGAUACUGAUCGACUCGAAGGCAGGAGAGGGGAGUGGAAUUCCCGGUGUAGUGGUGAAAUGCGUAGAUAUCGGGAGGAACACCAGUGGCGAAGGCGACUACCUGGCCUGUUCUUGACGCUGAGGCGCGAAAGCUAGGGGAGCAAACGGG